rnacentral:rRNA from 1 species
UCAUUAUUGAAUUAAAUUUUGGUUGGGUUGUUGCUGGCUCUUUUCUCUGGAGCAAUGUGCACGCUUGAUCAAACAUUUUAACCACCUGUGCACACACUGUAGGCCUGAGAAAUUUUUUUCGAGACAACUCGGUUUGAGAACUGCUGCAAAGCUGUUCUUGCCAUUUCAGGUUCUAUGUUUUUCAACAUAUACUCUAUAAACAAGUCAUAGAAUGUUUUAAUUAUUGGCCUUUUUUGUGCCUUUAAACCCUAAUACAACUUUCAACAACGGAUCUCUUGGCUCUCGCAUCGAUGAAGAACGCAGCGAAAUGCGAUAAGUAAUGUGAAUUGCAGAAUUCAGUGAAUCAUCGAAUCUUUGAACGCACCUUGCGCUCCUUGGUAUUCCGAGGAGCAUGCCUGUUUGAGUGUCAUGAUAUUCUCAACCUUUCUGGCUUCUUAUGAAGUCGAGUCAGGCUUGGAUUGUGGGAGUUGCUGGUUUUUGUUAAUCAGCUCUUCUUAAAUGUAUUAGCAAAAAUAAGUCUUUGCUGAACCAUCUUUGGUAUGAUAAUUAUCUAUAUCAUUGAGAACACAGCUAUCCACUUUCUGCGGAUCCUCAGGGCUCUGCUUGGAUUUAUUUCCAAGUGUUCGAUUCAACCGUUUUGAAGCACCAGCUUAGGCACAGACAUUAAUUUGUUUGAUGGUGUUGAAUACUUCAGGUUGACGAAGCGAAGGCACUUUUCUUAGGAACAGUGCUCACGAGAGCAAGCACACACCCAUCAGUCUGAUGUGUGUGCACUGUCAUAUUCCUGUACCUACCCUAGCUACUCUGUGGCUUUAAUGGGUGUGGUCAAACCAUGACCUGAACAUAUCCUUAGUGGGACUCUUUGCUUCUAAUAUAAUAUUGUUCCUAGGAACAAUAUUUGUUUUUACAAUUUGACCUCAAAU